AAUGUUAAGGGGUUGGAAUGGACCUUAAAGAUUAUCCAGUUCCAGCCCCCGUGCCACGUGCACGGACGCCUCCCACUAGAGCAGGUUGCUCAAGGCCUUAUCCAGCCUGGCUUGGAAUACUGCCAUGGCUGGGGCAUCCACAGCCUCCCUGGACAACGUGUUACAGCACAUCAUCACCCUCACAGUAAAGAACUUCUUCCUAAUAUCCAUCCUAAAUUUCCUCCCUUUCAGUUUGUACCCCAUACUCCUUUUCACAUCACUACAGCUCCUGACGAAGAGUCCCUCUCCGGCUUCCCCGUAGGUCCCUUCGGAUACUGGAUACUACUCCAUCCAAUUGGGCAGAGGCUGCAGCCGGGGCGGGUAACUACCUGCCCUUUGUUACCAGGUGAAAACAGCGCAUACCAUCCUCCGGAGCAGCAGCGAGUCCGGCGGGACCAGCCGCCGACCUGCUAUCACCCUCCCUGCCUCCUCUGGCAGGCGUACAGCCGCCCAUCCCCGCUCUGGGGACACCUCCCCGCAAGGACCGGUGCCUUUUUCACCACCGCCACCAACCCCCUUGGGGUGGCUCGACGGGAGGGUGAUCGCUACGGAGCCUGUGUUCCCAGAGCGGGGCCUUUGUUAACGGGGGGCGGCGGGGCGGGGGAAACAGGGGGGGUCUUCGGCGGCCGCACCCGCAGCACGGGCGCACGUAGCCCGGUCCGGCCCUCGCGCUGCCAUUCGACGGCGUCGCGGCGGGGCGGGCCCCCGCCCUACCCUCACGCGGCUAUAAAGGGCGGCGGAGAGGCGCUGCGCCACCUCCUCACUGCGCGCCGGGCGGUUCGGAGGCAGCAGGUAACGGGCGGGGCGGGGGAGAUGCGCGGGGGGAGAGAGCGGCGGCGGGCGGGGGGUGGUGGGCGUGUGAGAGCCCUCUCCCCACACACCCGCACCGCCCACCGGCAGGGGGUGCGGCAGCCCCCGGGCGGAGCGGGGCCGCAUGGCGGCGGGGCCCACGGGCACAAAGGCGGCGCGGCGCAAAAUGGCGGGGGCGGCGUGAAGGGGGGCGGUGAGGCCAGGAGGGAUAGGGGUGCGAGGGGGGAGAUGGUCGCCGGAGGAGGAGAGGGGGGCGGAUGGUUGUCGCGGGUGGGGGGAGGUGAGUUAAUCGCCCGCGGCGGGGGAGUGAUCGCCCGGGGAGGGGGUUGGGCUGGCUCGGAGCGCGGGUCCCCGCUCGCCCGCUCUCCUCGCCCCCUUCCCCCAGUGCCCAGUCGCCCCUCGGCGCGGGCGAGGCGUUAA
rnacentral:lncRNA from 14 species